GUCCUCUCCCCUCCUCACACUGCAUCAGAUCAUGAAGUGCAUGUGCCAGGGCAUAAACUGCUUUGUACACAUUAUAUGAACCCCUGAGUUCUGAUACAUCAGUGUAUGCUGUGUUUGUGCUGCUCAGAUCCUCUUGCCCUGACGGAGGUAAUACAAAAAUUCAUGAAGUCCCUGUAUUUCUCCACGGCGGAUGGCGAUGCCCAGUGUGCCACCCAGGAAGGGCAGAAGACGCUUAGUGUAGAAUACAGGAGAGGUGGCCCAAGCUUCACUUGCAAUCCACUGCUGCCCUGUCACAUUUUGCAACGCCACCUCAUCCAUUAAAGACUCACUUCUCACAGUAUGGUGGUUGUGGCUCGGAUGUAAAGCUCAGCUCUGGGAACACUGUGAGAGCGUGAACUUCAAACAGGCCUCCAAUGACAAGGUCUGCGUCCUGAUACAUCCCGUUCAGCUUGAAGUGUCCCUGAAGCCGACAAGUGCUUGAACUGACCACAGAAGCUACAGACAUGCAGUUAAAGGACAGGAUGAAGGUGCAGCAGAAAUUCACAAAGUCCCUGGAUUUCUCCACGCCUGAUGGCGAUGCCCAGUGUUCCCCCAAGGAAAGGCAGAAGACGCUGUGUUUGAAAUACAGGAGAGGUGGCCCAAGCUUCACUUGCAAUCCACUGCUUCCCCGUUACAUUCUGCAAUGCCACCUCGUCUAUUAAAGACGACAUUCCACAAGAUGUUUUUUAAGAUAUUAAAUAAAUAUUUGAUGUCCCCAGAGUACGUAUGUGAAGUUUAAGCUCAAAAUACCAUAUAGGUAAUUUAUUGUGGCAUGUUGAAAUAGGCACUUAAUGGGGCUGAGCAAAAAUGCACCGUUUUUGUGUGUAUCCCUUUAAAUCCAAAUGAGCUGCUCAGGUGGGCGGAGUCUCAACCGCUCGCGCUGUAGACAAGACAUCAAGAGGGAGAUUCUCUCAUGAAAGAAGUUAGUAAGCGAUGUUCAGCAUUAUAUAUUUGAACAAGUUUAAAAAGUCACUCGCUCUCACUCACUCACUCUUUCUUUUGCACUAAGGUAACGUUAAUCCUUUAGAAUGUUAAUUCAACCUUUAGAAAGACCAUUAAAACUACAAGUUAUAAGAUUGUAAGCUACUGUUUGUGUUUGAGGGAAUACAAACGUGUCGUGCUGUCAGUCAUUGUUUCUCUAUGUCUCUUGCAUUAGUGAGGUCACUUCAUGGUUGGACAGUGCAGAUGAAGGGGCGGUAUCAUUAUAAUAAGACACCACAGCUUUUGCUGUAGAAGUCUGAAUCUCUUUUACUAUACACUGAAUAUCUCUACGGUUGUUGUCAAGGGGCAGAAUUUCAGAAAACGCAACACAACCUCCAAACAGCUGCACUUCUUGGUGGAAGGACUGAGCAGCAUAGAGGCCAUAAUCAUCAUCACUAUAGAGAAGACCAACCCAGGUCCAUCCAAAAUGUCUUAAGAUCUUAAUCAUAGCUAGAACCUGGAAGGCAUCACUGGGGAUAGUUCUGAAAAAAGAGGGAUAUUUCUUCCUGUCACUCAAACAGGAACAGGUGGCAUAGUAGCUAACCUAAUGAAAAAAGAGAAAAAAGAUGGAAAGUGCUACACCAAUUAUGUUUAAACUGUUUUUGUAAAGUAAUAGAUUUAUUAUGUUUGCACAAAUUUCUGAUAUUAUGACAAAAAUAUGUGUACAGAAAAA